CAAGGGGGACGCGGCCGAAGGUGGGUUCGAUAAUUGGGGUGAAGUCGUAACAAGGUAGCCGUAUCGGAAGGUGCGGCUGGAUCACCUCCUUUCUAAGGAGA
rnacentral:rRNA from 1 species